UCUGAAGUCCACGUUUUUGAG
rnacentral:misc_RNA from 1 species